GUGGGUAUAGCUCAGCGGUAGAGCAUGUACUUAGCAUGUACGAGGUCCUGGGUUCAUUUCCCAGUACCUCCA
rnacentral:tRNA from 1 species